rnacentral:rRNA from 1 species
UACGAAGGGGGCUAGCGUUGCUCGGAAUCACUGGGCGUAAAGCGCACGUAGGCGGACUCUUAAGUCGGUGGUGAAAUCCUGGAGCUCAACUCCAGGACUGCCUUCGAUACUGGGAGUCUCGAGUCCGAGAGAGGUGAGUGGAACUGCGAGUGUAGAGGUGAAAUUCGUAGAUAUUCGCAAGAACACCAGUGGCGAAGGCGGCUCACUGGCUCGGUACUGACGCUGAGGUGCGAAAGCGUGGGGAGCAAACAGG